rnacentral:rRNA from 1 species
AGUGAACGCUGGCGGCAGGCCUAAUACAUGCAAGUCGAACGGCAGCACAGCAGAGCUUGCUCUGUGGGUGGCGAGUGGCGGACGGGUGAGGAAUACAUGGGAAUCUGCCCAGUCGUGGGGGAUAACGUAUGGAAACGUACGCUAAUACCGCAUGCGCCCUACGGGGGAAAGCCGGGGACCGAAAGGCCUGGCGCGAUUGGAUGAGCCCAUGUUCGAUUAGCUAGUUGGCGGGGUAAAGGCCCACCAAGGCGACGAUCGAUAGCUGGUCUGAGAGGAUGAUCAGCCACACUGGAACUGAGACACGGUCCAGACUCCUACGGGAGGCAGCAGUAGGGAAUAUUGGACAAUGGGGGCAACCCUGAUCCAGCCAUGCCGCGUGAGUGAAGAAGGCCCUCGGGGUUGUAAAGCUCUUUUGUCCGGAAAGAAAAGCAUUCGGUUAAUACCCGGGUGUUCUGACGGUACCGGAAGAAUAAGCACCGGCUAACUUCGUGCCAGC